rnacentral:tmRNA from 1 species
GCCUAAUCGCACUCUGCAUCGCCUAACAGCAUUUCCUAUGUGCUGUUAACGCGAUUCAACCUUAAUAGGAUAUGCUAGACACUGCCGUUUGAAGUCUGUUUAGAAGAAACUUAAUCAAGCUAGCAUCAUGUUGGUUGUUUAUCACUUUUCAUGAUGCGAAACUUUUCGAUAAACUACACACGUAGAAAGAUGUGUAUCAGGACCUCUGGACGCGGGUUCAAAUCCCGCCGUCUCCAUAU